AACUAACGCUGGCGGCGUGCCUAACACAUGCAAGUCGUACGAGAAAGUCCGCUUCGGUGGAUCAGUAAAGUGGCGCACGGGUGAGUAACGCGUGGAUAAUCUACCCCUCAGUUGGGAAUAACGUACCGAAAGGUGCGCUAAUACCGAAUCACACUGCACAUCUUCUGUUGUGUAGUCCAAGCUGGCCUCUGCUUGCAAGCUUUCGCUGAAGGAUGAGUCCGCGUACCAUUAGCUAUUUGGUAGGGUAAUGGCCUACCAACGCAACGAUGGUUAGCUGGUCUGAGAGGAUGAUCAGCCACACUGGAACUGAGACACGGUCCAGACUACUACGGGAGGCAUCAGUGAGGAAUCUUGCGCAAUGGGGGAAACCCUGACGCAGCAACGCCGCGUGAGUGAGGAAGGUCUUCGGAUCGUAAAGCUAUGUCAGAUGGAAAGAAAUGCAUGGGGGUUAAAAGCCUUCAUGCUUGACGGUACCAUCAGAGGAAGCACCGGCUAACUCCGUGCCAGCAGCCGCCGUAAAAC
rnacentral:rRNA from 1 species